UGGCAGUGAUUCCCGCGGUACAG
rnacentral:snRNA from 1 species